AAGUCGUAACAAGGUCUCCGUAGGUGAACCUGCGGAGGGAUCAUUAGUGAACUAGGACGCUCGCAAGAGGUCCGAUCCACUUACACACUGUGAAUCACGUGCUUUGGCACUUUAAACACUUGAAUUUAAAAGAUGGGAUUGAAAACUUGAUAACAAGUAGAAAAA
rnacentral:misc_RNA from 1 species